rnacentral:rRNA from 1 species
CCUACGGGAGGCAGCAGUGGGGAAUAUUGGGCAAUGGGCGCAAGCCUGACCCAGCAACGCCGCGUGAAGGAAGAAGGCUUUCGGGUUGUAAACUUCUUUUCUCAGGGACGCAGCAAGUGACGGUACCUGCGGAAUAAGCCACGGCUAACUACGUGCCAGCAGCCGCGGUAAUACGUAGGUGGCAAGCGUUAUCCGGAUUUACUGGGUGUAAAGGGCGUGUAGGGGGGAAAGCAAGUCAGGUGUGAAAACCAUGGGCUCAACCUGUGGCCUGCAUUUGAAACUGUUUUUCUUGAGUAGUGGAGAGGCAGACGGAAUUCGUAGUGUAGCGGUGAAAUGCGUAGAUAUUAGGAGGAACACCAGUGGCGAAGGCGGUCUGCUGGACAGCAACUGACGCUGAGGCGCGAAAGCGUGGGGAGCAAACAGGAUUAGAUACCCGGGUAGUC